UACAGAGGUCUCAAGCGUUGUUCGGAUUCAUUGGGCGUAAAGGGUGCGUAGGCGGCGCGGUAAGUCGGGUGUGAAAUCUUGGAGCUUAACUCCGAAACUGCAUUCGAUACUGCCGUGCUUGAGGACUGGAGAGGAGACUGGAAUUUACGGUGUAGCGGUGAAAUGCGUAGAUAUCGUAAGGAAGACCAGUGGCGAAGGCGGGUCUCUGGACAGUUCCUGACGCUGAGACGCGAAAGCGUGGGGAGCGAACCGG
rnacentral:rRNA from 1 species